rnacentral:rRNA from 1 species
UACAGAGGGGGCAAGCGUUGUUCGGAAUUACUGGGCGUAAAGGGCGCGUAGGCGGCCUGCUAAGUCGAACGUGAAAUCCCCGGGCUCAACCCGGGAACUGCGUCCGAUACUGGAUGGCUUGAGGUUGGGAGAGGGAUGCGGAAUUCCAGGUGUAGCGGUGAAAUGCGUAGAUAUCUGGAGGAACACCGGUGGCGAAGGCGGCAUCCUGGACCAAUUCUGACGCUGAGGAGCGAAAGCCAGGGGAGCAAACGGG